UCGCGCACAAGUGACGUCAUCGCCAGCUAAGCCGCUCAUAUCACCGAAGACUGGGUCAAGAUGUAAGCGCCUACAGCGGUGAUAGCGUGCUGCUGGAGGGCUUAGUUGUCAGAUUCCCGGAUGCUCAGAAAAUGCCAAAAAGAAUCUGCGUGUAAAGAUUUGUUGCAGGAAGUUUGACCCCUCCUCAUUAUCAAUGAGACAAGACCGGGGAACUCUAGAACCUUAUCUAAUGCAGUGUGCAUGACCCAGGCGUUUGCUCGUCAUGCAUUCAGGAAGGGAAUCCAAUUCUGCAUGGCUUAGAUAAGCUUAUUUGUUCUGACUCAGAGCAUGCUAGACCCCUAACUGGAUGGGAACUGCACUAAGAAUAGGCCCUGUGAAAUGUAGACGUUUUAUUAUGCUGUGUUUGACGUGGGCUCCUUGCAUACGGGGUGUCAAGCCCCUGUGGGUACAAUCACAGCGUUUUAGUGUGAUCCCCAGGAGUCAAAGGUGCUGCAUCCAUCCCCACUGCUCACAGCCUGUCAAAGUCUUUGGCAAGCUGAAAUAUGCUGUACAGAUUAGAGUCCUAUGAAAACAAAUUUCCAGAAUGCAGUUAUUCUGUGCAUUUGUACAGUCCAGAGUAUAGCUGGCCAGCUAAGACCUGUCCUAGGUUGCUAAUAUGACUUACAUGUAUAUACAGCUAGACCUGCUAACAACCUUAAUACAAUUCAUAUGCUCAUAUGUGAGAGAUAAAAGCAGAGUUAUUUACUGUGAUUUUAUAUAUGGAUGUCAUGUAACAGUUGUAUAUUGUUUUCACAGAAGCAAAAAGAGAGAAUAUGACUUUUAAGAUUUGUUGUGUGACUGUAAGGUAGGCUCAAGACCCAGCAGAAUUGAAACCAGAAAGCAUAGAGUUAAGCUUUUGUGACUUAUCAGGAGUCUUGGCCAAUCACAGCCAAUCUCACAUUGAGCAGGAGUCUUGGCCAGUCACAGCAAGCCUUACACCCAUUUCUGUCUGGAAAAUUCCCAGCACACUGCUAGAAAUUCAUUACACCAGAGAGAGAAGAUCUGAACAGACCCACACCACUCAGAGUUCAGUUUUAUGGAAGCAAGUGGCCAAAAUAGGUAUUUAAUACAGUUAUAUAUGCUUCUAUUGUUAAUAGUGUGAUUAGGACUGUAUACUAACUAGUUAUGUGUUUACUUGUAGUUCCAACAAACCAAACACCAAACUUCAAUUCCAAACAUCACAGCAAAUGGUCAAACAAACCUCAAACGUGCUAUCUAACUGCAAUAGCAAACGUUCCAGCAAACAGCAAUAUAGAGCGAGUAAAACUAUUGAUUAAGCCUCAGAGAGAUCAUAAAGUUUAAAUAACUUAAAGAGAGAGUACAGAUACUAAAGUAAGAAAUAUAUCUACCAUUUUAUGUAGAAUGACAAGAUUGAACAGUUGAACUGCCAUUUGUUGUACUUUAUUCAACACGUCCUUGUACAUGGACUGCCUGCUGCAAAAUUGUCAGUGUUAUAUAUGAAGAAAAGCUGAAGUUAAUAAAGAAGUUAUCUCAA